AGGCCUUGGUUUGCGAGCUGGUUUCGUGAGUGAUUACUAUUAUCGCACCCGAGGCGGCUCGCUCCGCUCCGUUUUAUGCUCGCAACAACAGCCCUGUGAGGUGUUUCUAUUAUGUCGGAAAUACCCGGAAGCAACGCAGCACAUGACAUUUUGCCUUUGGUUGCCGCCAAAGAAGACUCUAAACAAAGGCGCUGGGGUUUACUGCUCACUGGUGUUGUUGGGGGGUCGCUGGUUGCCCUCUAUUCUGUUGCCGCUCCCUUCAUCGCUCCGGCACUGAGGAAGCAUUGCCUGCCGUUCGUGCCUGCCACUCCAAAGCAGAUUGAAAACGUGCUGGGUGCGCUGAGAGGCCGAAAGGGGUCCCUGGUUGAUCUCGGGAGCGGCGAUGGACGCAUUGUGAUAGCGGCUGCAAAAGUCGGAUUCAAAGCUGUUGGCUAUGACUUAAAUCCCUGGCUGGUCUGGUAUUCCAGGUACCGAGCCUGGAGAGAAGGAGUGCACCGAGAUGCCAAAUUCUACAUUUCAGAUUUAUGGAAGAUCAGUUUUUCCCAGUAUACGAAUGUUGUUAUAUUUGGAGUUCCUGGAAUGAUGCAGCAGCUCGAAGAGAAGCUUGGGCGAGAGCUCCGGAAAGAUGCCAAAGUCAUUGCCUGUCGCUUUCCUUUCCCCCGCUGGAGGCCAAGUCAUAGUUCUGGAACGGGCAUUGACACCGUGUGGACAUACGAUUCAGAAUCUUUUAGAACGAAAAGGAAAGGGACGCAAUCAUGACCAAGUUUGUUCCUCUAAUGAGAUACAAUUCCAAAAAUGUUGUGUUCUGAAUAGCUGGGGGUGUUUUGUGGAUCUCCUUGUGUCUCCCAUUUUGGAGAGAGAACAGCUCAAAAGUAGUUGCCACAAUGCUUUCCCAGAAGGUUUCCUGUGCUCCUUAAAGAAACGGAAAAAGAGGGAUUCAGUCAUGAAAACUAUUCAACCCCAGCAGGACUGGUGGGAGGACUCGCAAUGAGGGGUGUUUACAUCAGUCAUGGCCCCAUGCUGGACAGUGUUCUCUUCCUCAGCGGCUUGAGAUUGGGAGAAAGAUACAUGGAAUUGAAAAAGCAAAUUAUAGAGUUGUGAUGUGCCAAUUUCAAAAUGCAUUGGCAAACUGAAUACACGAAGGUGUGUUUUGAGGAAAGCUCAGACCAGAACUUCCGGGGAGACAUCCGGGGCCUGCAUUAACAGGAAGAGGACCCAAAACCGAUGCCGCAAGAGUGACCUCCCCCAUGACCAUGAGUCAUGGUUUGCCUGCUUAUUUCCAAUGCAAGGUGGCCCCAUUCUUGGAAGUUGGCUAUUCAACAAAGAGGAGGACUUUUCAGGGAUGGCCUCUCCGUUAUGGGAAGUCCUGGC